rnacentral:rRNA from 1 species
AUGGUUAAGUGACUAAGCGUACACGGUGGAUGCCUAGGCAGUUGGAGGCGAUGAAGGACGUACUAACUUGCGAUAAGCCAUGAUAAGCCAGUAAGAGGCACUUGAGUCAUGGAUUUCCGAAUGGGGAAACCCACUCUGUUUACAGAGUAUCCGGCACUGAAUCAAUAGGUGCCAGGAAGCGAACCCGGAGAACUGAAACAUCUAAGUACCCGGAGGAAAAGAAAUCAACCGAGAUUUCCCCAGUAGCGGCGAGCGAACGGGAAGCAGCCCUUAAGCUUAACUUGUGCUAACAGAAUCCGAUGGGAAGCGGAGCCACAGACGGUGAGAGCCCGGUAUGUGAAGGUGCAUGAUAAGUGAAAUCGAGUAGGUCGGGACACGUGAUAUCCUGACUGAAUAUGGGGGGACCAUCCUCCAAGGCUAAAUACUCCCAACUGACCGAUAGUGAACCAGUACCGUGAGGGAAAGGCGAAAAGAACCCCGGCGAGGGGAGUGAAAUAGAACCUGAAACCGUGUACGUACAAGCAGUAGGAGCGGACUUGUUCCGUGACUGCGUACCUUUUGUAUAAUGGGUCAGCGACUUAUAUUCUGUAGCAAGGUUAACCGUAUAGGGAAGCCGUAGGGAAACCGAGUCUUAACUGGGCGUUGAGUUGCAGGGUAUAGACCCGAAACCGGGCGAUCUAACCAUGAGCAGGUUGAAGAUUGAGUAACAUCAAUUGGAGGACCGAACCCACUUAUGUUGAAAAAUGAGGGGAUGACUUGUGGCUAGGAGUGAAAGGCUAAUCAAGCCCGGAGAUAGCUGGUUCUCCCCGAAAUCUAUUUAGGUAGAGCCUCGGACGAAUACCAUUGGGGGUAGAGCACUGUUUGGGCUAGGGGGUCAUCCCGACUUACCAACCCCAUGCAAACUCCGAAUACCAAUGAGUACUAUCCGGGAGACACACGGCGGGUGCUAACGUCCGUCGUGAAGAGGGAAACAACCCAGACCGCCAGCUAAGGUCCCGAAGUUAUGGCUCAGUGGGAAACGAUGUGGGAAGGCAGAGACAGCUAGGAGGUUGGCUUAGAAGCAGCCAUCCUUUAAAGAAAGCGUAAUAGCUCACUAGUCGAGUCGGCCUGCGCGGAAGAUGUAACGGGGCUAAGCCAUACACCGAAGCUGCGGCUGCAUACUUAGGUAUGCGGGGUAGGGGAGCGUUCUGUAAGUGGGCGAAGGUGGUUCGAGAGGACUGCUGGACAUAUCAGAAGUGCGAAUGCUGACAUGAGUAACGAUAAUGGGAGUGAAAAACUCCCACGCCGGAAGACCAAGGUUUCCUAUCCCAUGCUAAUCAGGGUAGGGUAAGUCGGCCCCUAAGGCGAGGCGGAAACGCGUAGUCGAUGGAAAACAGGUCAAUAUUCCUGUACCGAUGUUCAUUGCGAUGGGGGGACGGAGAAGGCUAGGUGAGCCGGGCGUUGGUAGUCCCGGUGAAAGUGCGUAGGCUGAGGACUUAGGUAAAUCCGGGUCCUUAAGGCCGAGACACGAGACGAGUACCCACGGGUGCGAAGUCAUUGAUGCCAUGCUUCCGGGAAAAGCCUCUAAGCUUCAGAUGAACAUUGACCGUACCCCAAACCGACACAGGUGGUCAGGUAGAGAAUACUAAGGCGCUUGAGAGAACUCGGGUGAAGGAACUAGGCAAAAUAGUACCGUAACUUCGGGAGAAGGUACGCCACUGGUGGUGAUUGACUUCGCGUCAUGAGCUGCUGGUGGUCGCAGUGACCAGGUGGCUGGGACUGUUUAUUAAAAACACAGCACUGUGCUAACACGAAAGUGGACGUAUACGGUGUGACACCUGCCCGGUGCCGGAAGGUUAAUUGAUGGGGUUAGUUUUCGGACGAAGCUCUUGAUCGAAGCCCCGGUAAACGGCGGCCGUAACUAUAACGGUCCUAAGGUAGCGAAAUUCCUUGUCGGGUAAGUUCCGACCUGCACGAAUGGUGUAACCAUGGCCACGCUGUCUCCACCCGAGACUCAGUGAAAUUGAAAUCGCAGUGAAGAUGCUGUGUACCCGCGGCUAGACGGAAAGACCCCGUGAACCUUUACUACAGCUUGGCACUGAACAUUGAACCUACAUGUGUAGGAUAGGUGGGAGGCUUUGAAGCACUGGCGCCAGUUGGUGUGGAGCCAUCCUUGAAAUACCACCCUUGUAUGUUUGAUGUUCUAACAUAGGCCCCUUAUCGGGGUUGUGGACAGUGCCUGGUGGGUAGUUUGACUGGGGCGGUCUCCUCCCAAAGAGUAACGGAGGAGCACGAAGGUUGGCUAAGUACGGUCGGACAUCGUACGGUUAGUGCAAUGGCAGAAGCCAGCUUAACUGCGAGACAGACACGUCGAGCAGAUACGAAAGUAGGUCAUAGUGAUCCGGUGGUUCUGAAUGGAAGGGCCAUCGCUCAACGGAUAAAAGGUACUCCGGGGAUAACAGGCUGAUACCGCCCAAGAGUUCAUAUCGACGGCGGUGUUUGGCACCUCGAUGUCGGCUCAUCACAUCCUGGGGCUGAAGUCGGUCCCAAGGGUAUGGCUGUUCGCCAUUUAAAGUGGUACGCGAGCUGGGUUUAGAACGUCGUGAGACAGUUCGGUCCCUAUCUGCCGUGGGCGUUUGAGAGUUGAGAGGAGCUGCUCCUAGUACGAGAGGACCGGAGUGGACGAACCUCUGGUGUUCGGGUUGUCACGCCAGUGGCAUUGCCCGGUAGCUACGUUCGGAAUCGAUAACCGCUGAAAGCAUCUAAGCGGGAAGCGAGCCUCAAGAUAAGCUGUCACUAGCACUUAGAGUGCUCUGAAGGGUUGUUGGAGACUACAACGUUGAUAGGCGGGGUGUGGAAGCGUAGUAAUGCGUUGAGCUAACCCGUACUAAUUGCCCGUGAGACUUAACCAUACAACACCCAAGGUGUUUGGGACGUUACGCACAAGCGAGCGACUUUACCGAAU